rnacentral:snRNA from 1 species
CAAAGAACCUGGCAGGGGAGAUACCAUGAUCCCGAAGGUGGUUUUCCCAGAGCAAGGCUUGUCUACUGCACUCCGGGUGUGCUGACCCCUGCCAUUUCCCAUUUGCUGGCCAGAUAGUUGUCCUGAAUUGUUAGGCAAAGAC